rfam:Pan troglodytes isolate Yerkes chimp pedigree #C0471 (Clint) chromosome 10, whole genome shotgun sequence.
AGCUUUGCGCAGUGGCAGUAUUGCAGCCAAUAAGGUUUAUCUGAGGUGCAAUUAUUGCCAGUCAAA